rnacentral:sRNA from 1 species
CCUCUUCUGGAUCCCGGGACGCUCCCCUUAGUUUCAGGACUCCUGACUCCCAGGCCCCCAUUUCCACCGUCUGGGGACUCCUUUUCCCCUCACUCGGACUCAGGAGUUCACUGCCUCGGAUCUUUGGCCCUCUGCGGCUGUUCAAAGAGUCGGGCGCUGCUGUCUGUGAAUUCUUUUUGAAAGCUGCCUGCGGCAAAGGGGGCAUGUGUCCGUUUCGCCACAUCAGUGGUGAGAAGACAGUUGUGUGCAAACACUGGCUGCGUGGCCUAUGCAAGAAAGGGGACCAGUGUGAGUUCCUGCAUGAGUAUGACAUGACCAAGAUGCCCGAGUGCUACUUCUACUCCAAGUUCGGGGAGUGCAGCAACAAGGAAUGUCCCUUCCUGCACAUCGACCCCGAGUCCAAGAUCAAGGACUGUCCUUGGUAUGACCGCGGCUUCUGCAAGCACGGUCCCCUCUGCAGGCACCGGCACACACGGAGAGUCAUCUGUGUGAAUUACCUCGUGGGAUUCUGCCCAGAGGGGCCCUCGUGUAAAUUCAUGCAGUGAGUAGCCAGCCGCUCCGCCCUCUACCCCAGCUCCCAGCCCAGGCCCUGCUGCCCUCCGUAUCUUCCCUGGGCCAACUGGGCCUUGGUCACUGGGUGAUGUCAGUACCAGGGCCAAGGGUGGGGGCAGGAGAUGGGGAAGUAAUCCCUGCUUAUGGCCACCAAUGCUUCCUGAGCCCACAGGUGGCUCUGCCUAGACCAGCAGCUGAUCUUUCUUGGGUCAUGGGCCAUCUGGUAAUGUAAUGGAAGCUGUGGGAUACAGACAAACAUGUAGCCUUGCAUAU